rnacentral:tRNA from 1 species
AAAAAUUUAGUUAAAUUAUAACAUUAGCUUGUCAAGCUAAAAUAAUCAUUAGAUAAUUUUUA